rnacentral:lncRNA from 1 species
GACGAUUUAUUUAUUUUUGAUUUUUUUUUUUGUAACGGGUCCAAAUUAUACAAUUAGAUUUAUUUGUAUUUAUAACAAGAGAGAAUUAUAUCACAAACAUUUAUGCAUAAUUGAAUAUGGGUCUGCUUAUAUUAGUUUAUUUUUGUAUAUUAUUUUUCACCAACAAAUUUUAUCUGCCUGAUAUUGAUGGGUUUAUCAUGGUAUAUGGUUGCUCGCCUCUAUGAUUGAUUAUGCUUCCACAUGUACUAAAUCCAUCGAAGGCAAUGAUCAAAUCUCAGGAACUUAUAUGAAAUAUUUGAAUUGUUAUAGAAAGCUUCCUGUAAAAAAUAAUUGGGGGUAUAUUGUUCAGGGUUAUGGGACUUUAACUGUCAGAAUUAAACAAAUUUUCCAAAUAUCAAACAUCAAUUCUGAGUAUCAGCAUGGUCAGGUUUAAAAAAAAAAAUCCCAGAGGUAUGGCAUUCCAAGUCAAGUUUUCUGCCUGGAUUUUCUGCAAAGUUGCAUAAAAUCUUUAUAAAAUGUGCAUAGAUAAAUUUUCAUCAAAUUUUACAUCAUUGUUGGGCUUGGUGCUCCCAUUCAAUUUUGAAAUUUUUUGUAAAUACUUUUCCUGAGUAAUGGAAUUUUGACCAUCAGUAAUGAAGGCAAUUUUAUAAGCCAAAUGAGACACUAUCAAGCUUUUAUAUUUCUUACAAUAGAUUUAAUUUGAAGCUUUUCGUUUCAUUUUCAGUGAGUAUCAAAGACUAGUACUCGGGAGUGAAAGAGUAGUGGGGGAGGGGGCAAUGACCAUCCAACUUUUUGGUAAAGUUAAAGACAAUAUUGAUAAUAUUUUUUGUGUGUGUUAUGUUCAAAAGUUUUUGUCUUAUUAGUCUACACCUACGCCACUUCCUUGUAUUUACUUGUGAUACAAAAAUCUAUUUAUGAACAUUAUUAAUGAUUGGUAGAGUAAUGAAAAACAUCAGCAUACACCUCCCACGAUUUGUUUUCAUAGUUAUAUUAAUAAAUUGUAAACAGGAUGAAUGUAUUGUAUAUAAACAUGAAAUUAUCAUUAUCAAUCAUGUUUUAAAUUUAUGACACUUUUAUAGUAGUUCAGAUUUUUGUUGUGAAUAAUUAUUAAUUAGAUGUAGCUCUAUAAUAUUUUUUUCACUUGUUUAUCAAUUAAAAGCUAGAAAUUACUAAAAGCACCAUUUCAUAAUUUUGUAAUUUUGUAUUUCAUAUUUUCUUGUGGAAAACUUGUCUUUUGUAUACAGACAGAAAAAUGCUGAGAAAUAAGGAAUGAUUUUAAAGAUCAAGAAAUACAAGUUUCAUACAAAGUUCUGAAACUUCCAAGCUAAGGCACUACUACAUUGAUAAUAUAUAUCCUCAAGUAUGCAUGAAUAUUUUGUAAAAAAAUUGCUGAUUCUUAUUGUAAUAAUACACAUUUUUUAUCUUGUGUAUCAUGCACAAUUUUUUAUCUCGCCUUGAGGGAGUCAAAAGCGAGACAUAGGUAUGCUGUUUUUGGCGGCGGCGGUGGCGGCGACGCGACGGCGAUAACAAUGUAUUAGUUUGUGAUUAGCUCGGUUUUAUGGGGAACCACUAGUGGUAGGUCAAUGAUAAUUGGUAUGCAGAUGUAUUACCAUUGCCACAUAGCAUUGCCAUGGAGAUUAUUUGGCUCCGCCCUCUCAGUCAUGGUCUAUUGACUCUGAAUGAUUUGCUUACUUUACAUGUAUUAGUUUGUGAUUAGGUCAGUUUAUGGGGAUUCACUUGUGGUAUGUCAAUGAUAUUUGGUAUGCAGAUGUAUAGCAUCGCCACAUCUCAUUGCCAUUGAGAUUAUUUGGCUCUGCCGUCUCAGUCAUGGUCUAUUGACUUUUAAUGGUUUGCUUACUUUACAUGUAUUAGUUUGUGAUUAGGUCAGUUUAUAAAUGGGGAUCCACUUUUGGUACAUCAAUGAUAUUUAAUAUGCAGAUGCAUUAGCAUUGUCACAUCUAAUUGCCAUGGAGAUUAUUUGGCUUAGUCCCCUCAGUCAUGGUCUAUUGACUUUAAGUGGUUUGCAUUAUCAAAAUAACAUAUCUCUGUGAUAACAGUUUAUUGUAACAUACUGCAGGUUUUGAACUUAUCGGUUAGUAUGAUCAGUCUUAAACCUCUCAAAUUUUACAUAUUACAAUUCUUAUUGUGAAUGGAUGCGGGUAUUUUAAUUGUUACAUUCAUGUUUAGUAGGUGUACAUAGUCUUCAACACUAUACCUUUGGGAAGUGCUACACUCUAAAAGGAGGAAAAUACAAAAAAAAAUAAAGCUUAAAUAAUGAACAAAAAAAGACGUAGAAAUACACCAGUGAGACAGCAACACAACAACAACAAAAAAUCUCAUCCAAAGGUCAAAAUAAAGUCUUCCACAAAAAUAAUGUUUUUAUAUGUCUUUUGUUGUUCAAAAAGUCGUUGUAAUAUUCUAAUGUUUAGGUCUGAAGAAUAUAGAAGGUAAACCUCAAUAGACAGAAGAACAUCAUGAAGGCAUUAGACUAAGGGAAAUAACCCUAAGCAGGGUUGACAAUUUUGGAUAUCUCCUGAGUCAUACAGCUAAAAUAUUUUAUUAUUCCAUACAAAUAUUGGCAUUCAAUUUGCAUUUGCAUGUGGUACAGCUAUUCAUUUCAAUUGAAUAAUUUGUGAAGGUUAUUCACUGGAUCUGCUGAGUUGAACAAAAUAUCUGAAUUAAUUUACACCUCAUGAUAUUUUUAUCAGAUUUAUUCAGUUUAAUAUACUGCAAGUUAUAAUAAAAACUGUAAUUUUGAUCAAAUGUUUUAAAUUCUUUGCUCUUAAAUUAAUUAUUGAUUAUAAAAUGUUAUUUGCUAUUUGGUCAUGCCAUUCUUGUCAGAAAAGGGUAGAAUUAUACUAUAAUAAUAUAGAUCAACUACAUAUUAUCAAAAGUUUAUACUUUUUAUAUUUUCUUUGUUUAUAUCGUUAUUUAUAUUUU